UAGUGUCAACACCAACUCUGUGUUUCCAUAUAUAUGUAAAGAAGAUUAGGGUUACCUCAUUUUUGUUUCAUUUUCUCACAGCUAGAGUGGCCUCACUAUCUCACUCAGGGCGGCGGGCCUCCCAGCGGUGACGCUCAAAGACCAAAGUGGUUCACUUGCCAGCACAACUUUGUUCCUAGUGGGCUGUUCUCCACAUGGUUUUGUUGAUUUUGGGUUGGCGGACUCACAGAUGAACUCCUUGUAGCAUUCAAUCAAUAGUUAAAUUCAUUAUAGUUUGGUUUGUCAUUGAUUUCUUUAAAAGCAUGAUUAGUUCAACAGAUUAAUUAAGCUUCUUGCUUGAUUGACCUUAUUCUAAAUCAUGGGUUUAUACAUCAAAUUGCAUUUUUAGUUUGUUCAUCAUUGGCUUUUGCCAAAAAAAAAAAAAAAA